rnacentral:rRNA from 1 species
AGCGAACGCUGGCGGCAGGCCUAACACAUGCCAGUCGAACGAACUCUUCGGAGUUAGUGGCGGACGGGUGAGUAACACGUGGGAACGUGCCUUUUGGUUCGGAAUAACUCAGGGAAACUUGUGCUAAUACCGAAUGUGCCCUUCGGGGGAAAGAUUUAUCGCCAUUAGAGCGGCCCGCGUCUGAUUAGCUAGUUGGUGAGGUAACGGCUCACCAAGGCGACGAUCAGUAGCUGGUCUGAGAGGAUGACCAGCCACACUGGGACUGAGACGCGGCCCAGACUCCUACGGGAGGCAGCAGUGGGGAAUCUUGCGCAAUGGGCGAAAGCCUGACGCAGCCAUGCCGCGUGAAUGAUGAAGGUCUUAGGAUUGUAAAAUUCUUUCACCGGGGACGAUAAUGACGGUACCCGGAGAAGAAGCCCCGGCUAACUUCGUG